AAUAAACACAGCCAUUAGUUUUCAUAUCCAACUUUGAUCAUCCGUCUUAUUUAAAAUAAUUUUCUGAUUAGUAUUUUUAUUGUUAUUAGAUUAUAAAACAUGAAUAGUACUUUAUGCGUGACUUAUUUUUUUAGUUUUUUUUAAAAAAAAUUAAAUAAGACGAACGAUUAAAGUUGGAUACAGAAACUGAUAGCUGCGUUUAUU
rfam:Oryza sativa Japonica Group DNA, chromosome 11, cultivar: Nipponbare, complete sequence.